CAGAAGCACAAACAGUAUGAAACCAGAGUUCCAUUCAAAAAUGAUGAUUAAAAUACAUUAACAUUUCAUUUAUCUGUGCUAAUUAUGGUAUGGAAAAAAAGAAAAUUGUUUUAUAUAUUUUUAAUAACACUUAUGUUGAUGUUGAUAUUCUUUUCAGGCAACAUCACAAACACUGAGCAAAGCUAUGAUUUAAACCAGUCUGUUUAUCAUACAGUAUGAAUAACUUUUCUAUGUGCUCUACUGCCACUCUUUGCUUUAUCAAAAUCUGAUAAAAUUAGGGUGACUAUUUGCUUCACAGGCCAUUCUGGGGCAUUCAUUCUCUUUAUCAAAACAAUAUUUUAAAAGUAAAUAAAUAAAAAUUAAACAUACAAAUACAGUAAAAAAAUUAAAGUAUAAAUAAUUCAUACAAAUGAUUAGUUGUACUUUAAAAUGAAAUGAACCUUUUUAAGUUGGUACUUGUAGUUUUCAAUUUGUUCUUUGAACUCUUCGCAGGUAUUGCAUUUGAAGUUACAAUAAUUGCCUUCAUGGUAUCAUUGCAUCAACAUUCAACUGGGAAUUUUCUGCUGCCAACAAAUUAUUUAUAAUAGAAACACUCUUUCAGUAGCUGCUUUGGUAUUAGAUAAACAAAGUUCUUUGAAAGUGAAUUCUAUAACUUUUAUAGGAUGCACAUAAGGAACAUAAUUUUCAGGGAAAUAAAAUUUAAAUGCAACACUUAUUGUUUAGGUAAACCCAUUGGAAAAAAAGACAAGAUUAACCACCAAUGAUGCUGUAGAGCUUUAUUUUGCACUACCUUAUUUCGAAAAUGAAGGCAACACAAAAGAGGAUUUACAAAAUUCAGAUUCCACAAACAUAUUUGAAGUCAACAAUAAUACAGUGGGUGAUCCCAAUUUCUUACCCCCAAACGGUGAAUCUGAUUGAAGAUGAUUUUUGAAAUGCAAGCAUUUAUCGUAUGAGUAAUAAUAAUAAGUCAGGUCAAUAACAUGUUUUUGAAAAAUGUAAAAAA